rnacentral:misc_RNA from 1 species
GUGAAUCAUCGAAUUUUUGAACGCAAAUUGCACUCCCUGGUAUUCCGGGGGGCAUGCCUGUUUGAGGGUCGUUAGAACACAAAUCGACGCGUCGCUCUUUUUUUACGGGUGAUCGCGUCGGAAUUAAGCCGUCUGUCAAAUGUUAACUCCUGUUAAAGUGGCUUAAUAAUCAUCCAUCCGGUA